rnacentral:lncRNA from 1 species
CCAGCAGCUGGCAGGUCUCCUCGUGGACCUGCCCCACUCCCACGGCCUCUGCCAUCACCUUCAUGGACUCGGCAGGCAGCAGCGUGUGGCUCAGCUUCAGCUUCUUCUCCUCCGCCAUCCUCCCUCCCUUCUCCUCUCUCCUCCCUCCCUCCCCUUCCUGCUCUAUUCUUUUUCUUUUUCUCUUCCUCUUCUUUUCCUCUCUUCCUCUUCACUUCCUGCGUUUCCUUUUCCCUUCUAUUUUCUUUUUAUUCUCCUUUCUUUCUCUUCCACUUUUUCCUCUUCCUUCUUUCCUUUUUCUUCUUUCUCUCCCCUUUUUCUUCUCUUCUUCGUUGCCACUCUCUUCCCUUUAUCCUUUCCCUUUUCCUCUUCCUUUUUUCCUUUUUCUUUUCCUUCUUUCCUUCCUCUUCCUUCUCCCUUCCUCUUCCUCCCCCCGCAGACGCAGGGCAGCCCCUAGAAAAGCACAAAACCUUAUGGGGGCAACAGAAGGAGACCCCAAUGUUGGGGUCUGU